GUAAAGAGCUCGUAGGCGGUUUGUCGCGUCUGCCGUGAAAGUCCGGGGCUUAACCCCGGAUCUGCGGUGGGUACGGGCAGACUAGAGUGCAGUAGGGGAGACCGGAAUUCCUGGUGUAGCGGUGAAAUGCGCAGAUAUCAGGAGGAACACCGAUGGCGAAGGCAGGUCUCUGGGCUGUUACUGACGCUGAGGAGCGAAAGCAUGGGGAGCGAACAGGAUUAGAUACCCUGGUAGUCCAUGCCGUAAACGUUGGGCACUAGGUGUGGGGGACAUUCCACGUUUUCCGCGCCGCAGCUAACGCAUUAAGUGCCCCGCCUGGGGAGUACGGCCGCAAGGCUAAAACUCAAAGGAAUUGACGGGGGCCCGCACAAGCGGCGGAGCAUGCGGAUUAAUUCGAUGCAACGCGAAGAACCUUACCAAGGCUUGACAUGUUCCCGACCGGGCCAGAGAUGGUCUUUCCCCUUUGGGGCGGGUUCACAGGUGGUGCAUGGUUGUCGUCAGCUCGUGUCGUGAGAUGUUGGGUUAAGUCCCGCAACGAGCGCAACCCUCGUUCCAUGUUGCCAGCGGGUUAUGCCGGGGACUCAUGGGAGACUGCCGGGGUCAACUCGGAGGAAGGUGGGGACGACGUCAAAUCAUCAUGCCCCUUAUGUCUUGGGCUUCACGCAUGCUACAAUGGCCGGUACAAUGGGUUGCGAUACUGUGAGGUGGAGCUAAUCCCAAAAAGCCGGUCUCAGUUCGGAUUGGGGUCUGCAACUCGACCCCAUGAAGUCGGAGUCGCUAGUAAUCGCAGAUCAGCAACGCUGCG
rnacentral:rRNA from 1 species